GUGAGCGUUUGCUAAAGUUGCUAAAGUGUGUCAUGGGACUCGUGCAAGAAUCUGGCGUCACGAUUUGUGGUUGUGUGGUUGUGUGGUUUGUGGGCAUAGGUGUCUUGUGAGGUUAGUCAAGAUGGGUGGGGGAAAGUUGCUGCUGUAUUCGGAUGUUAACUAAGGUUAAAGGAUAGCAGAAUUAAAAGAACAAAAGAUGCUGCUCCGCCGUAAAAUUCCAUCGGAGAGCGAUGCAAGAGCACAGGCUAGUGCUAAUGGUGACGCAGCACAAGAGAAGUCGGAGAGCGAACUAGAAGACUGUCAACGUCUCUGUGCUUCUGGGGUAUCAUCAAAGCCCAAGAUGAAGACAAACUUUUUUAAAUCGCUGCGUGAACACUGGCGGAAGCGAAAAACGAAACUUGCAGUGCAGAAUGGUGUCGAAGUAUCCUCGGGGCCUCCAGAGCCAAGCAGUCGAAAAGAUGUGACCGUCUACUGCCCAGGGUCGUCGUCGUUAACUGCGUCUAACUCGCACGAAGAUUCACCUAAUGACGCCAAUGACAAUUAUGUCCGUGCCGGUGUUGGUUCGAAUGGCGAACGUGUGUGCAGUGAUGCUGACGGCGAGACUGAAAAUCAUAAUCUGCCCUCAUCCUCGUCGUUCGCGGUCCCUUCUGUGCCUGUCACUCAGCCAGGGUCUUCUGUCAUGAGUGUUACAGAACAUUUCACGCACAGCCAGACGAAUUCAGAACAGCGCGGAACGUCGUGCAGCAUUGAUGAAGUGUCGGGGAGACGGCAUCCAGCAACAAGUAAUCGGUGCUUGUCUCAACCGGUCACUAUUCAUGAACACAACUGCACGGGUUCGGCGUGUGGAGAACACUGGAAGAUGACUGACCCGCAAGGAGGCACCACGCAGUCGGCGGGCGUUGUUGGAGACGGAUUGUGCAGCGAAACCUCCGCAGUUUCGCCAGUCGCGGAAGGACCCCAGGUUCCUUGUCGGCAGCCCCUGCGCGACGCCACCCCGUCAGUGUUUGUCUCGGUGUUCCCGGGACCGGACAGUCGUGAAGACCCAAGGAUCAGUAGUCUCAGCGAAGAAUUGUUCAAGUUAUCUAAGCACGGUUGGUACUGGGGGCCGAUCACGCGGGGCGAAGCCGAAGAGAAGCUCGCUGACCAGCCUGACGGCGCUUUCCUCGUACGAGACAGCUCUGACGACAGAUACCUGCUGAGUCUUACGUUCAAAUCAUACGGCAAGACGCUGCAUACGAGAAUCGAGCACUGUAAUGGCCUAUUCAGCUUUUACGCUCAAUCUGGACCUGAGGGCCGUGCCUGCAUUGUUGAUCUUAUUCAAGAGUCCAUGAACUAUUCUCAGUCAGGUGUGUUUUGCUAUUCACGGGGUCGGAGCCCUGGUGUCCCCUCUUUCCCAGUGCGCCUCAUUAAGCCUGUGUCACGACUUACUCAUGUGCGGUCCUUGCAAUACCUUUGUCGCUUUGUGAUCCGGCAGUAUACACGGUUUGACCACAUUCAAAGACUUCCACUACCGUCCCGUAUUAAGGGAUACCUCGAAGAGGGUCACUAUUGAAAGCUACAAGUUCAGUCUACAGCUCCAGAAGCCCCAGCGUUGUGGCAUCUCUACCACCAAUACUGUUAUGCAGUAAAAGAGGCCCAUACUGUUGGCCACAAAAGUUUGCAGAAUCUACAGUGUGUGGCGGAGCGACGGGAAACUGCAUUGCUGUACUACCUAUCGUCACAUGGCACGGUGUUGAGGCUAUCGGCCGUGGCCUCUGCGAUUAGUUUCGGCAGCGGUGCGUUGGCGGAGCUCAUCGCGGAGGCCAUGGUCGAUAGACUCAACACCGCGGCAUGUGACUGUAGGUGGUGUAGCAUUGCAAUUUUCCGCCACACGCUGCAGAUCCCUCAAUCUUUUGAGGCUGACAGUACAUGGCCCGAGCUUGUUUUAGUGCACCAUGUCAUGGCAUGAUGAUUUCACCAUAUUGUAAAGGUGCGGUAGCUAAUGAGCAGUUAUUGCGUAUCAACAUGCGUCCACUUCCAGCACACUGCCUAGGGUGGUGUUUGUUACUCUAGACAUUUUGUAUACAGAAUAUGAGGGAAUUGCCCAAAUAGUGAAAGUUUUAUAUUGUGCUCAACAUGGUUUCUUGAGUCUCAAGGUUUAGUAGAGCUAGAGUUAACAUUGACAUAUCAGCAACAUUCUUUAGAGGCUGCAUAUGCCCCUUUUGUGUGUAAAUUGCCUUGUACAUGCAUAUUUUUAUUAGUUCAAAUGGCAGUGAUUCUCUGCUCAAAGGAUGCGUUACUGCAGGAUCUUUGAAUGGUCAUGUGUUCAUUCAAAGA
rnacentral:misc_RNA from 1 species